rnacentral:rRNA from 1 species
UACGUAGGGUGCGAGCGUUAAUCGGAAUUACUGGGCGUAAAGCGUGCGCAGGCGGCUUGCCAAGUCAGAUGUGAAAGCCCCGGGCUUAACCUGGGAAUGGCGUUUGAAACUGGCAGGCUAGAGUUUGGCAGAGGGGGGUGGAAUUCCACGUGUAGCAGUGAAAUACGUAGAGAUGUGGAGGAACACCGAUGGCGAAGGCAGCCCCCUGGGCCAAAACUGACGCUCAGGCACGAAAGCGUGGGGAGCAAACAGG